rnacentral:rRNA from 1 species
GACGAACGCUGGCGGCGUGCCUAAUACAUGCAAGUUGGGCGCUGAAGGUUGGUACUUGUACCGACUGGAUGAGCAGCGAACGGGUGAGUAACGCGUGGGGAAUCUGCCUUUGAGCGGGGGACAACAUUUGGAAACGAAUGCUAAUACCGCAUAAAAACUUUAAACACAAGUUUUAAGUUUGAAAGAUGCAAUUGCAUCACUCAAAGAUGAUCCCGCGUUGUAUUAGCUAGUUGGUGAGGUAAAGGCUCACCAAGGCGAUGAUACAUAGCCGACCUGAGAGGGUGAUCGGCCGCAUUGGGACUGAGACACGGCCCAAACUCCUACGGGAGGCAGCAGUAGGGAAUCUUCGGCAAUGGACGAAAGUCUGACCGAGCAACGCCGCGUGAGUGAAGAAGGUUUUCGGAUCGUAAAACUCUGUUGGUAGAGAAGAACGUUGGUGAGAGUGGAAAGCUCAUCAAGUGACGGUAACUACCCAGAAAGGGACGGCUAACUACGUG